UUGUAGGCUGCAACUCGCCUACAUGAAGUCGGAAUCGCUAGUAAUCGCGGAUCAGCAUGCCGCGGUGAAUACGUUCCCGGGCCUUGUACACACCGCCCGUCACACCAUGAGAGUUUGUAACACCCAAAGCCGGUGGGGUAACCUUUUGGAGCCAGCCGUCUAAGGUGGGACAGAUGAUUGGGGUGAAGUCGUAACAAGGUAAC
rnacentral:rRNA from 1 species